rnacentral:rRNA from 1 species
UACAGAGGUCUCGAGCGUUAGGCGGAAUCACUGGGCUUAAAGCGUGUGUAGGCGGAUUGGUAAGUACCUUGUGAAAUCCCACGGCUCAACCGUGGAACUGCUCGGUAUACUGCCUGUCUUGUGCAACCUAGGGGCGAGCGGAACAGAUGGUGGAGCGGUGAAAUGCGUAGAUAUCAGGAGGAACACCGGUGGCGAAGGCGGGUCUCUGGGCCGAAACUGACGCUGAGGAGCGAAAGCGUGGGGAGCAAACAGG